GUGUUCGUAGAAAGGAGAGAUGGAUGUCAUUUCCCUCAACAAGGACGAGAACGGUAUUU
rnacentral:ncRNA from 1 species